GAUGUACCGAGAAAGCCUUCGAGGACCAAAUGGUCCCUCGUUGUCCAUAUGUUAUGUGAUGUGUUCCACUCCCCUUUGCUGUCGAAAUGAUAUUGUAGAAGAAGGAUAAAAGCUUCUAGUGAUCACCGAAUUACGUCAUUCCAAUGAGUGAAGGCUGGUUCGAAAUUACCGAGUUGCGAAGAAUCUUCUUAGAAUGCUCAUGCUAUUGAGGGUGGAUAGACUCAUGUGGUAGCAAAGGAACUUU